rnacentral:lncRNA from 1 species
AAACAGCGUCCGUGACAAGAAGCCCGACAGCCAGAGCCUUCGCUUAGCUUUGACAGAACUCCUAAAGCAAGCAUCGCCCUGAGUUCAUUUCUGUGUAAUAUUGUUUAUAGCCUCUUCAGAGAAUUGCCACCCACGACCCCAGCCCCAAGGUCAGCCAGCUUCUUCUACCUAAGUGGACUCUAACCUUCCCAACCCUGAUGGUGCAGAGACUGUCACGUAAACUGCCUCAGCUUUCUGGGGACUGUUCUGGAGUGCUCACCUACACUAGGCUUGGGGACCAUGUUGGUGCCAUUUCCCCAGACUGGGUACUGACCUCUUCACAGUUCCCGUGGCGCCUGAAGGACUGGAGAGUUUAUGUUCCCAUGUCUCCUCUGGGUGUUGGCCAGAGCUGUGAUCACCAUGACGGGAAUCCUCCUUAUUUGCUCCUUAAGCAAAUAAUCCUUGUGUUUUUGAUUAUGCCCUUAAUCUUUGUCCUGAACUGCUGAUCUUCAGAGGGACCCAGGAGAAGAUGAGUCCACCGUUUCUACUGGGGAAAAAAAAACAAAACAACAACAACAAAAAAAAAACACAUCAAACUGUGGGACACUGGAUGGGUGGAUGGGCUAGGCCUGAAAAGAGAUUGCCAAAUACAAGUCCCUUCCAGAUGAAAAGUGGAUCCUUUAGGAAAAGGAGAAACAAAAAGAACAACGUAACUCACUCCAUUGUUAUUUUCCUCCUAAUUUUGUGGACCGCUAUGGCCAGUUGGUGAAGCUGUUUAUCCACUGGAAUCUUGAUGAGCUGUCAUCUUCAAAGUCAUCUCAUGAUCCGAAAAUGGCUGUUGCAGCUCCAGCCAACAGAGACACCCUGAAGGCCAGAAGAAGGAAGAAAGGCAAAGAUUCAUUAUCUUGAAUUUUUCAAUCUUCCGCUUUUCUUUAUAAUUUUAUUACCUGUAAGUAUACUCCUAAAAACCUUAUUUGGCCCACAGAGUAGGAGAAAAUCUUUGCAAUGAAGCAACCGACAAGGGAUUAAUCUCCAAAAUAUACAACAUCUCGCACAGCUUUAUAUGAAAGAUCCAAUCAAAAACUUUUCAGAAGAUCCCAAUGGACAUUUCUCCAAAAAAGACAGAUAGAUGGCUAAAAAGCACAUGAAAAGAUGCUCAAAUCACUAAUUAUUUAAAGAACUGCAAAUCAAAACUACAGUGCACUCCACAGAAAGUCUACAAACAAACGCCAGAGAAGUUGUGAAGAAAAGGGAACACUCCUACAAUGUUGGUGGGAAUAUAAAUUGGUGCAGCUACUAUGGAAAACAAUAUGGACGUUCCUUUAAAAACUAAACAUGGAACUACCGUAUGAUUCAGCAAUCCCACUCCUAGGCACAUAUCUGGAGAAAAUCAUAAAUUGAAAAGAUAUGUGCACCCCAGUAUUCAUUGCAGCACUAUUUACAAUAGCCAAGACAUGGAAGCAGUCUAAAUGUCCAUAAACAGAGGAAUGGAUAAAGAAGAUGUGGUACAUAUGGAAUAUAUAUGGAAUAAUGGAAUAUAACCCAGCCACAAAAAAGAAUGAAAUAAUGUCAUUUGCAGUAACAUGGAUGGACCCAAAAACUGUCAUACUAAGUGAAGUCAGAUAGAGAAAGACAGAUGUUAUAUGAGGUUACUAAUAUAUGGAAACUAGUAAAAAUUGUAUAAAAGAACUCAUGCACAAAACAAAAACAUACUCAAAGAUUUCAAAACCAAACUUAUGAUUACCAAAUGGGGAAUGUUGGGGGGAAGGAUAAAUUGGGAGGUUGAAACUGACAUAUAAACACUACUGUAUAUGGAAUGGAUGCGUAACAAGGACCUACUGUAUCACACAGGGAAAUCUACUCAAUACUCUGUAGUGACUUAUAUGGGAAAAGAAUCUGAAAAGGAAUGGAUAUAUGUAUACAUAUAACUGAUUCACUUUGUUCUAUAUCUGAAACUAAUGCAACAUUGUGAGUCAACUAUACUCCAAUAAAAUUUUUUACAAAAGUAA